rnacentral:lncRNA from 1 species
CGGCAGGUUUAUAGGGUUGAAUCCUGAACUUUGAUAACUUUAGGAAAUGAUGCAUUUUAUGGACAAGUUAGGGGAUACGCAUAAGCAAAGGAAGACGGAAGGAAAGUCCAUCCAGGCCCUUUUCUCGUCAUGACCACAGCUGUGGCUGGAAUCACUAGUCUCAGACUUCCUCUGUGGACUCAACUUGUUUUAUUUUUACAAAACUUCAGUCACUCCACCCGUGCUGUUAAGCUCCCCGGCGUUUCCUCAGGACUACGGGAUGAGCGUUUUCCACGGAAGUGACACCGAAGAUGACUUUCACGGCUGCACCCAAUUGCACUGUUUCCACGGAAGUGACACCGAAGAUGACUUUCACGGCUGCACCCAAUUGCACUGUCACUGUGCUGGUUUGUGUCACCCCUUGCUGCUAUACCCUGCCUUCUCCGGUGUCUGGAUGGAGCGGGUUUCCCGGGGACUGGGUUUCCUGGAGACCAGAAAUUAAAAUAAAAGAGGAUCUCCCUGGAGUGCCUGGCAGAUGGUAAGUGCUCAGUAAACACUAUUUAUCACCAUAUCAUUGUUGGUUUUUUUUGCCCAAGUCCCGGGCAGAGGAACAGCUGGUGGUUGAUGUGAGGAACUCCUGGACCAAAGACGCGACCACCAUUUUUUCCUUUCCUUUGGAAAUAGACAGAUCAAGCCACCAACAUUCAUUUCUCACAGAUCAGUGCUUUUUAUGUUAGGAAAUCUUUUCUCUGAUGUGCACACAAAAAUCCUCCUUUUCCUUGAUCCCUUCCAAUUCUCAGUUCCUCAUGGAAGGAAAAUUUCUAUCUGACUCAAACUUGUAGUUAAGUGCAAGAAAAAACUAAUGAUGUUCCUCUGUUAAGGAAAGAACAAUCUGUAAGUUUUAACUAAAAUUCAAAUGAUAAAGUUUAGAUUAAUCAUCUCAGCAAAUAGAAGCCAAAUAUCCAUUGCUCUGAGUAGUUGACUACUCAAACAUUGAGACAAGAAUAAUGUAAACUAGAAGAUUUAAAUAUAUUAAUAUAUUUCACUUGCCUUUAUAUAUUUAUCUGUUGUUGUUCAGUUGCUAAGUCAUGUCCAGCUCUUUGUGACCCCCAUGGACUGCAGCAAGCCAGGCUUCUCUGUCCUUCACCAUCU